AUGGUGGUGGGACCCACCACCCACUCAUUUUGUGACUUAACGACCACAAAUUGGGUCUCAAAUCUCACAUCUCCCUGUCUUUUGAGGCAAAACGGAGAGCACGACGAGUUCUAUGCGUGAGUACCAUCAAUUUCAACUUUGAGCCUCCUUAAAGACUUCGAAUUUGGAGACCCAUUUUAAGGGUUUUGCAUCAAUUUGAGGACAUGGCAAGGAAUUGGCGGAUAAUAAUCCACCACAGAACUAAGGGAACUUAAAGAGCAUUUUGAAUAUAUUUUGUUGAAUUUGAACUUAUUUUGUAAAGCACAUGAUGUAAAAUGUAUUAAGUUCAUUUGGUAUGUAAAAGAUAAUGUAAUUAGAAACUUGAAAUCCAUUUUGAUGUAAAUGGAACUAAUGUAAGCACUAUGUUUAACCUCAUGUAAUUGUAAUA